AUUGAACGCUGGCGGCAGGCCUAACACAUGCAAGUCGAGCGGAUGAAGGGAGCUUGCUCCUGGAUUCAGCGGCGGACGGGUGAGUAAUGCCUAGGAAUCUGCCUGGUAGUGGGGGAUAACGUCCGGAAACGGGCGCUAAUACCGCAUACGCCCUGAGGGAGAAAGUGGGGGAUCUUCGGACCUCACGCUAUCAGAUGAGCCUAGGUCGGAUUAUCUAGUUGGUGGGGUAAAGGCCUACCAAGGCGACGAUCCGUAACUGGUCUGAGAGGAUGUUCAGUCACACUGUAGCUGAGACACGUCUCAGAGCCCUACAGUAGGCCGCCGUGGGGAAUAUUAGGCAGUGGGCGCUAGCCUAGUCCAUCCACACCGCGUGUGUGAAGAAGGUCUUCGGAUUGUAAAGCACUUUAAGUUGGGAGGAAGGGCAGUAAGUUAAUACCUUGCUGUUUUGACGUUACCAACAGAAUAAGCCCCGGCUAACUUCGUG
rnacentral:rRNA from 1 species